rnacentral:lncRNA from 13 species
CAAAAAGCCAGAUUCUCAGGAAGACAGAAUUCUAAUCCAGAAAUGGAUUAAUGUGUAGUCAUUUAUUUAUUCAUUUGUUCAUUCAGAUAAUCUUUCCUAAGUGCUUGUUAUAUGCUAGACACUAUCCUGAUUUCAAGGGAGUAUAUGUUAUGAAAAUAAAGACAACCCAAAUGAGAACAAACAGAGGCUAUUUAUUCCAUUUGUUAGAGCAAGGAAAUCAGCCACAGUAUCUUCCUUCUGGUAGAUACUCAAAGGCAGGCAGAGGACUGGCAAAUCUUUCUAGUGAAGAAGAAGGAAGGCUUCAGGCUUCCAAGUGAGAAGUUCAGGGCUUCACAAUUGAGAACCAGAAAGAAAAGGAGAAACUGGCCUUUGUUGAGUAUCAACUGUCAACAUUCUUGGAUAAGAAAGGUAUUGUUUGUUUUCUCUCUUACAAAACACAAAAUGGUUAACUUGAGAAAUUAAGAUACCUGCCUUGGUAAGUGACACUUUCAAAAAUCACAGCACUUUCCACCUUCCCAAAUUCCUACUUAAAUCAGUUCAACUUCACUGGGGCAUAUUUGAGGCUGGCUGACUACCACUCAUGCACUUUUGCGAAGGAGUCUUGUGCCUUGUCCCUGAUGACACUGUUGGUUCUUUAUGUCCUAGAUGCUAUUGGUGGGAUGCGGAAGUGAUGACUGAUUGAAAAGUGUUAAACAGACUAAUCAAGUGAUUCCUAGGCUGAGAUGGCUCCAGGGCCUUAGAUUCCUACAUAUACAAAGUGAGACAACUCAAUGUAAAUAACAUUCUGUUUUAUUUAUUUUUUAAAUAAACUC